CCCCGACCAGCAGCACAGGUGAAGGUCACUAACCAGCUAGCAGCAGCAGCAACUGAAAGAAAAGACACAAACUACCAGCAAACUACAGUAAAUAACCAUCACAAGAGCCACUGGACUUGGAAUACUAGACGACAUGGAAAGGUCGACAUGAAAGAAAGAAGAGAAGAACGAACUUCAUCAUCAAAACGGCGGACCACAUCUCUUUUGAGACAUGAUCCAGAAACAUGGAUCAACAAGGGUUCACUGUCACUGAAGUCGACCAAGGUGAAAGCAACAUUCCCAUACAAGUGGCACAGGAGAAAGGAGAGGAAAAUGGAGGUGCUUGAAAGUGGUCUGUCUUCCAAUAACCAGAGAGAAAAGAGAGUGUCUCAGAUGACAACAUCCCAGUGAGGAGAGUUGUGAGGCUUUGGAAGCAGAGAAUCCUGCAGCUGCUGUCUCCUGCUCCCACCUAGUGGAGGAAGAUGGGAAAUACAACAUCUCCAUCAGACAAGUUUGAGUCUUUUAUAGCUUAUUCAGGGUAAAGAGCAACAUGGACAGUUUCAUCAAAUAUUAGUCAAUUGGUUUAACGUCUAAUAUAUGUGGAGCUAACAGACAAAUCCAGCUGUUUGUUACCGGUUCUCCUAGGAUUCUCUUGACCUGGAUUACUGAUUAUUGACACAGAUAUCUUCUAAAAGUGGACAAAAUAUUAUUCAACAUUAUUUAAAUGCAGCUAAAGUGUAUUGAGAGGAUUGUUGGCAUGAAUCUGUCUGGAAACUUCCAGGCUAAAGUCCACAUCUGCUGUUUGACUACAGUUUAAGCAACUCUGUUACUGUGGCGCCAUCUAGUGACCACAUUCUGUAUUUAGUGCAUUUGAUUUCAGACGAAAAAUUUCCCCUUUCAAAUGUUUAAGAGAAAUACUGUGGAGUUUAGCAGUGAAACAUACAUUAAAAGUCUCAAGUAAUGCACUGAAGUACACUUUUAAGGCACCUGCACUUUGCGCAUGUGUUUUAAUUUCAGGCUACUUUAUACUUCUGUUCCACUACACCUAAGAUGGAAAUUGUACAAAGAAACCCAAGGAAUGUUAAUACGUAUGGGUAGUAGUUGCACCUGUUAUUGAUUAUAGGCUUGAGUGCCCAUUAACACAAACUAGUUAUUACAAAAGAAUUUUUUUCAUUCGUGCCACUUGUGAGGUUUCUGUUAACAGUGUAGCUUCAGUAGUAUCGCAUUAGUGCCCUUUUAUUAAGAAACCACAUUCUCCUGGGGUGUUUUAACAAGCAGAGUGUCUGUGCAUGUUUGUGAACAUUUAGUUUACAGUAAAACCUGUUCCUCCUGUGUCCUCAUUGGACACAGUGUUGCUGCUGACUGCAUUUCCAAACCAGCAGGAGUUUUAGAACAGAAACAUUGGGCUUCUUGUUACAGUUAUUUGAUUGCUGUCAGUAGUUCUAAAGCUACUUUACAAAUUAGGAUGUUAGCUUACAUUAAGUAAUUACACAUUGAUGCAUCAGCAUUAAUGACAUAAUUUUAUGGCAUUUAUUUGCAGUUUUGUUUUGCCAUUUUAAUUACAUUUUUGCAAACUACAGAAACUUAUGAACCUUUGCUAAAGUAGCGUUGUCAGUGCAGGGCAUUUAUGUACAGUCUUUACCAUAGAAUAGAUAUAAUGAUCAAUAGUAGAAUACUAAGUUCAUCAUUGAUUCUAAUAAAGGAAUGAAAGCUAAUUUUCUCCCACUACACAUUCUGCUAGAAGGAACCCUUUCAACAUUUUAUUGAAUAUAUACUUUAAGUUACAUAUACAUGUAUAUAUGUACAGGCACACUAUAUCACAGUUUGAGUGAAACUGUUUAAGUAAGGUUAUGGUGAGAGAUACUUAAGUAUCAGUGCAACUCAGUCAUGUUUUUUGUGGGAUAAAUGUUCUUGCUUUUUACGUUUUGUAAAUACUGACAAACUGAUUUUACAUUUGUGGUUUAUAAUGAUAAGAAGGAAAAGGUAAUAUUAGCUUACGGCUAGGCUCCCACAAUAUUUCAUCAGGAAUUGGUAUGCAACAUUUUAAACAUUAAGAUUUUCUUGAUGCAAAAAUCAUGAUUUUUAAACCUGUUGUAAUGUUGUAUUUAUGUUGAGCUCAAUAAACAAUGACAGUCCUAACAAGAGAGAGAGCAGUACUCCACCAAGGCUGCUCAG